rnacentral:rRNA from 2 species
GGACUACCCGGGUAUCUAAUCCUGUUUGCUCCCCACGCUUUCGUGCCUGAGCGUCAAUCUCAGCCCAGGGGGCUGCCUUCGCCAUCGGUGUUCCUCCACAUCUCUACGCAUUUCACUGCUACACGUGGAAUUCCACCCCCCUCUGCCAGAUUCGAGUCGACUAGUUUCAACCGCCAUUCCCAGGUUGAGCCCGGGGCUUUCACAGCUGACUUUGCCAACCGCCUGCGCACGCUUUACGCCCAGUAAUUCCGAUUAACGCUCGCACCCUACGUAUUACCGCGGCUGCUGGCAC